rnacentral:rRNA from 1 species
AUGCUCCACCUGCGACGCAACUUCCCACGCCGCCGGCCACCUCCUCGCCCCCACCGCUUUAUAACCCUCUCACUCCACCACUCCCUCACACCACACCCAGCUAGAGCGAGGCGGACACCCAAGCAACCACACUCUCCCACCCUCAGCCACCGCACAAGGAAGAAGAAGAAGAGGUCUUCUCUCUCCCUGCUUUGCUUAGCUUCGUUUGUGACUGCCAUGUCGUCGUCGGCCAUGGAAGCGCUCCACGCCCUGAUCCCGGAGCAGCACCAGCGCGACGUUGAGGCGGCCGCGGCGCUCAGCGGCGCCACCAGCGGCGAGGAGAGCGGCCACGUGCUGCAGGGGUGGGCCAAGAGGAAGCGAUCGCGCCGCCAGCGCUCCGAGGAGGAGAACCUCGCGCUCUGCCUCCUCAUGCUCUCCCGCGGCGGCAAGCAGCGCGUGCAGGCGCCGCAGCCGGAGGCGUUCGCUGCGCCGGUGCCUGCCGAGUUCAAGUGCUCCGUCUGCGGCAAGUCCUUCAGCUCCUACCAGGCGCUGGGUGGCCACAAGACGAGCCACCGGGUGAAGCAGCCGUCUCCUCCCGCUGAUGCCGCCGCUGCUCCACUCGUGGCCCUCCCGGCCGUGGCCGCCGUCCUGCCAUCCGCCGAGCCGGCCACGUCGUCCACCGCCGCGUCCUCGGACGGCACGACCAACAGAGUCCACAGGUGCUCCAUCUGCCAAAAGGAGUUCCCCACCGGGCAGGCGCUGGGCGGGCACAAGAGGAAGCACUACGACGGAGGCGUUGGCGCCGCCGCCUCGUCCACCGAGCUUCUGGCCGCCGCGGCCGCUGAGUCCGAGGUGGGGAGCACCGGCUACGGGAGCUCCGCCGCCCGGGCCUUCGACCUGAACAUCCCGGCCGUGCCGGAGUUCGUCUGGAGGCCGUGCGCCAAGGGCAAGAUGAUGUGGGAGGACGACGAGGAGGUGCAGAGCCCCCUCGCCUUCAAGAAGCCUCGGCUUCUCACCGCCUGA